AAGAGCGGAGGUAGAGGGAACGACGCAUGCUUGAGAAAUGGCGGGAAACAGAAGAGGCUCGAGGCUUGCGCACACGCCCACAGCCAACUGCUUCUGGACCGCCUGAAAGGCAACCUCGCCCGCCGCGGUGGUGUGGGGCGGGCAUCCCUUGAGACUGUGCUCUGGAGGCCUGGAGAAACAGCUUUCUAUCCUCAGCACUGGGGAGAGCAGGCCUCAAUCCCUGUCUUUGCCUGCCGCCCCUCCUCCUUCCCUCUCAAAGCAUACCCAGCAGACCCGGCGCUGAGAAACGCGUUACUCUCUUAUCAGCUGUGGGAGAGACAAGACAGACUGGCCUCUGGGCGGAGGGGCCGCCAUUGCCUGCCCUCUGGACCAGGGCCUCACAGAUACCCUCAGCUUCAGGAUUAGGGCUGCGUUGCUUUUUCCCCCCACAUCAGGGGACUUCAACAAGUAACCUCCAGUUCCAUAGAUAAAAUUUGCAUUCCCCCCUUCUCCAUGGCGGGGGUUUUGAGCCUAGAGAAGGAAGAUCGGAGCUUCCUGGGGCUCCUGUGAAGCAGGCAGGGGGCAGCACUGGGCCCCGGGAAGAGGCGGAGAAGGCGAGGGAGUGCCUGCGGUGAGCCCAGAGCCUUAGGCCCGUUAUCCUCUGAUGCUGCUCCCCCAACUUUCCUGCCGUCAGUCCCUGACCUUGCCUGAGACCUUGGCGGCUCCCGCACCUCUCUCCCGGCUCCUCCUUGCUGAGAACACAACCCGCAAGGCCCUUCCGCCUGGCUGGACUGAGUCCCCUAUGGAGGCAGCCUGGCAGGGAGCAGGUGUCUUCCUGGCAGAAGAGGACAGACCUGGUAAACUGAGAGACUGUUGAUGCCCCGAUGUUCUGCCUAGCCUGCCUGGAAACUCCAGAAGGCCACAACAACUGGAUUCUCUUUUCUAAUUUUUGCUGCAGCUUCUGCUUUGUAAUCAUAUGGACAGUUGUGCUUGUCAGAGUUAACGGUGAAGUCCACAAAACAAAUUUCCACAUCGGCAGUCAAACCCUGUGGGUCAUUGGAGUGGUCCUGAGCUGGAGAAGCAAAAGAAGAGUUAGCGAUCCAUGGAAAUGCAAAGCUGACUUCAGGGUCCUGUGUCAUUCCUUGUGACACUGAGUAGAGUGAGGGUCCUGUUGCCAUUGGACAGCUGCAGCCUGGGACUGACUGGGAGGCUCUGAUUGUUUAUCCACCACAGACCAGGAUCUCCCCUCUGGGCUGCAGAUGCCUAAGAAGAAAGGAACUGAACCAACUCUGGUAUUGGGGUCCACAGAUGCCAAAUAAGGCCCCUGGAGUAGAGGAGAGGUUAAGACUGUGGCUGAAGACAAAUCUCCUGUAACUGAUCUUCCAGUUACGGUCUGUGUGACCUUGAUAUAGUGACUGUAUUUAUUGCCAUGUGGCUCAGUUUCCCCUCAGUGAAAUAGUAUAAAUGGUUAAUGGUUUUGGCUUA
rnacentral:antisense_RNA from 1 species